rfam:Postia placenta Mad-698-R POSPLscaffold_109_Cont4930, whole genome shotgun sequence.
UCACCACUCUGGCCUUUUGGCUUAGAUCAAGUGUAGUAUCUGUUCUUAAUAGUUUAACCACUAUUAUGGAGGCAUUGCCUCCAUUCAUGGUUAUCUUAUUUUUGUCGCCCUUUCUUCUUGGCUCUGCUUGCAACCGAGGGGUGUGAUGACUGUGCUGUUGCAGUAUUGGCAUGUGUUGUCGGGGGAUU